GACGAACGCUGGCGGCGUGCUUAACACAUGCAAGUCGAACGGUGAAAGCGGAGCUUGCUCCGCUGGAUCAGUGGCGAACGGGUGAGUAACACGUGGGCAACCUGCCCCUCACUUCGGGAUAACUCCGGGAAACCGGGGCUAAUACCGGAUAUGACCUCCUUGGGCAUCCUUGGAGGUGGAAAGUUUUUCGGUGAGGGAUGGGCCCGCGGCCUAUCAGCUUGUUGGUGAGGUAGUGGCUCACCAAGGCGACGACGGGUAGCCGGCCUGAGAGGGCGACCGGCCACACUGGGACUGAGACACGGCCCAGACUCCUACGGGAGGCAGCAGUGGGGAAUAUUGCGCAAUGGUCGAAAGCCUGACGCAGCAACGCCGCGUGCGGGAUGACGGCCUUCGGGUUGUAAACCGCUUUCAGCAGAGAAGAAGCCGCAAGGUGACGGUACCUGCAGAAGAAGCACCGGCUAACUACGUGCCAGCCGCCGCGGUAA
rnacentral:rRNA from 1 species